UACAGAGGCCCCGAACGUUGCGCGGAAUCACUGGGCUUAAAGGGUGCGUAGGCGGGCCCGCAAGUGCUUUGUGAAAUCCCACGGCUUAACCGUGGAAUAGCUUGGCAUACUGCGGGCCUUGAGGUCGGCAGAGGUUGCUGGAACUCUAGGUGUAGCGGUGAAAUGCGUAGAUAUCUAGAGGAACGCCCAAGGCGAAGGCAGGCGGCUGGGCCGAUUCUGACGCUCAGGCACGAAAGCGUGGGUAGCGAACGGG
rnacentral:misc_RNA from 1 species